AUGCUAGAUGGGAGUGCUUUGGUGACAUGUGCUUGCUUUUGAGAAAACCAGUAGUCUUCAGAUUAGGACUAGGAAUAAUUAUCGUGUUUAUUUUGUGUUUACCUGAAUUUUUCAAAAUCCAUGAAGCUAACACUAUAAUGGUGUCCUGCAUGGAUACCUGUUCAUCAAGUAACACCACUUUUUCACUUUGUACUUUUAACUAUUCUUACAAAAGAUCAGUGCAACAAAGAAGAGAAACCCAGACUAUUUUGCUGAAGGUCAUUAUAAAUAAUUCCAAUUUCCAAAAUAUUCCAUGUAUUUGCCAGUCGUCCUGGAGGGAACGACAGUCCCACCCUAAGCAGACAGAGUGUGAGUCCAAGAGGGAUGUGAAUGUUGAUCAUCAAGGAUCUGGGUCAAUUGCUAAAAAAACAAAAGGCUCGCUUGAAGUGAAAACAGAAAAUGUUACUUAUUUUUAUAAAUAUUUCAAUUUCACUACGGUUUCCAAGAAAGAAGUGGAGCAUAAUACGAACUACCUGAUGGAAAUCCACAUCAACAAGUCUAUAGUCGGAGGACAAAAUGCAGCCAACGAACAACUAAAUCAUUCUUGUCUCUUGGCAAUGAUGGAAGACCAAAAUGACUGUAUAAAUAUUUCACUGCAACUGAAGUCUUAUGUGGAAUAUCCAAUGUGUAUGACGAAGAUCACUUGGCUCACUAUGAUUCCAGUAGUUUUUGUAUUUACUGUUUUAGUCGUCAUCUACAAAAUAGUCCAAGAAAAUAAACGGAACUCAGAUUAUAAACAAAGAGUAGCAACAUCAGUUUCUACUGUUCGAAGAAGAAGGACUUCCAGACAUGCAAGAAGAACUGUAUCUGCUACUAACAUUCAUCCUUUUCCUGUUCUUCGGGAGUAAGAGGAGACUCAAUAAUUUAUGUCUACAACUCAGUAUUUCAUGGCAUUUCAAUUUUACCUAGAAAAGAGUGAAUAGCUUCUUGUCUGUCUGAACUCCCCUUGAAAACCAGCAAACAACAGGUACCACUUCCUGCACAGACCACAAAGUUACUGCCUGUAAUUCCUGAACAAGAGCAUUGUCACGUGGAUCAACUGUAGAAGUUUCAGGUAUCACCUAUGAAAUACCAGCACUUCUAGAUGAAAGAAGACACAUCAUAUACCACAGAAGAAAGCAUCCCCAUUUCCAGCUUGGGGGGGCUAUGUUAUCCAUCUUUUCAUGGAGAAUGAGAAUUAUGCAUUUUAGUUGACAAGUUCCAUUUUUUCCAUCAUAAUUACUUUGUUUUGAGAAAAUAUGAACAAGCAUGUGUUGCUGCAUAAACACUUCAACAGCAGAGUAUAGAUUUCACAUCUAUUUUCUGUUCAUUCAGGAUUCAUACUUAGUUAUAUGGUUGUGAGGUAAUCUUUGUGAUUAUUACAUCUUUUUAUCAGGGCAGAAAUUUAUUUUUUAUAUUCCAUAGGACAAGAAGUCUGUAUAAAGCUAGGAAUUAUCCUCUACUUUCAUGAAACGAGCACAAUUUUCAACCUACCUAAAGUUCUAGAUGACUAGGAUGCCUAAAAGAUUAAGUUUCCGGCUGUCGAGAAGGGUGGCCAAAGUAUUACAGAAGGAAAGAAUUCUGCAGCAAGCAAGUUAGUUUCUGCAGUAAACCAGGAAAACCAUCAUAAUUUGUGCAAUAUCUUAGCAGAUAAAGAAAAAAAUGUGGAAAAAUACUAAUUUGAUUUCAAAUCACAAAAUUGUUAUUAUAGAUUUUUGAUAACUCAUUAAGCCAUUAAAUGGGUUUGUACUUUUUGAGAAAUUGCAUUUCCAUCUUUUGUUCUAGCUUGGCUCAUUAGCAUUCCAACCCAUUAUCUCUUGGAACUUUUCCUCACUUUCAUUUACUACUGCUCCUCUGAGUGCAGUGGAGCUGUUUGGACUGAGCAGGGUCCCAAACUCCUUUGGUGCUAACAAAUGAUUUGUGUGUACAGCUUAGCCAUCAGUUACUAGGCAGAGACAGAAAUUGCCAGGACUUCAGGCUCCCUUGUGCUAAAUCCAUCAGGAUGAACAGAUUGUAAACUGCCCAUUGCAAACAUGAUAGGCAGCAAUUUAGCAUCCAGUAAAUACUUCAUUAUCUCCAUUGCUUACAUUUAUACAGCCUUUCCCUCCUGAAGCUUUCUGAAACUGAAUUUUCCAGUCUACACUGAGCAGUUCAGAUUUAAUAGGAAUAGUCGUGAAUAUUAGCUUUUGAAUGAUUUGAGGGCAUAUGGAUUUUUUUUGUAUUUUGUUGAAUAAGUCUGAAACAUUUGUUUAUAUUGUUUUUUGUUUUACCAUCUUAUUAAAAAAUAAGAGAAAAAUACUUUCUUGAUUUGGGGGCUUUUUGUCGUUUGUUUGCGGUAAUAACAAAGCUUCUCAGAAGCAGUUUUUCAGAAGUAGUGUUUUUAAUAAGCUUUUCAGAAGAAGAAUUUUUAAUACAGUCUAUAAAGUAAACAUCUCACAAUUUGCUUCUUGGUUGUUUUUUCUCCUUAUUAUAGAGAGCAACUUACAGACAAAGAGACAUAUUUGUCUCAAUUCACUACAGAGUUGCUAAGGCCAUUUCGGUUGGUGUUUAAAUGCUUCAAGGAUUCAAGCUAUCUAUCACUUUUCCCCUUCAGUUCUAGAGAUCUUGAUAGGGGCAGCCCUGCUUCUUGUGACCCCAACUUAAUUUUCUUUCUCCUAUAGUUUAAUUCUAUUAUUAUUCUUGCUGCCUGUAGCCUACCUCUUUUCCUUAGACAAAGAAACACUGAUUUGCUAUUUUAUUACCCACAGUUAUCCCACAGCUCUCCAAGUAUUUGGUUUUACUACCCUGGAAGGUUCCAUCUUCCAAGUUACCUUCAAGAACACCAUAAACAAGAAAGCCCAAAAGGCUCUUUCAAGCUUUUCUUGUCUGCUGCAUAAAGCUUACCUUGUCUUCUAACUAUGAUCCAAACUACAGGAAAUAAUGGAAGAAUGGGGGGACAUUGGUAAGGAUGGCAACAAAAAAUGUGAUCCUGAAGUAAUUCUGGUUGAGAAGUAUUUCAGGUGGUUGCUGGUCCAACCUCCUUACACUUGAAGAUGGACUGAAAACAACUGGUUUAGUCUUGCCAUUUUCUCCUGUGGUUUGGUUUCUCUCCUCCCACAUCCUUGUAACUCCUUGUCCUCAUUUCUGGCUUUGUCAGAACUAAACACGUCAGGAGAGAAAGGAUGUCCUGGUAUAGCCUCUCAAGCACAAGAUGAUGGGCAGGAGGGAAGAGCCUCAGAAAUCAGCAAGGGGAAAGAGACAUGAAGGUGGAGAAGGGGUUCGUGUUUGAACAGAACUGGUGGGGAAGGUGGAGCUGAUGGACGUGAGAGAACGUGCAAAAUGGACAUGGGACUGAAUGGGCAAAGGGAACGGAGGGAAGGCAGAGACCAUCUUAAAUGCCAGCACCAGAUAAGCUGCUGAUAUCAGAGACUGAGAUCUCUUACUGUAAGAUCUCAGUCUCUGAGAUCUUACAGUAAGAGCAGGGCUGCAUUUCCCCAAAUCUGUUAAAUGGGUUGAGGGGCUUCUUACGGCGUUUAAAAAUUACUUGAAUUACCUGGUGUUCUGGGUAGGUCCUCAAAAGGCUGUAAUGGAAGGCUGUGAAGAGGAGAUCAAAGUGGGGAGUUGCUAAGGGGUCCUUAGCAAACGUGUCCUCAGCGACUUUAGCAGGGCAGCCAAUAGAGGGAGAAUGAGCACUGUGGAUCCACAGUGAUCAAAUUAACUUCUUCCUAUUAUUUUCUUUUUCCUAUUUCCUUUCUAUUCUUUCCUUUCAGUUCUUCCUCUUUUAAUGUUCCACCUCUGACUACCUUUCAGUUCAUGCAGAUUUUCACUUUAAAAAGUGCAUUAUUCCUGUUCUGCUGAGUUAACCAGACGUCAUCUCUCGUUUACUCUGAAAAAUGCUGAAAAAAUAUUUUUACAGAGGCUUUUCUCUAAUCCAACCUUGAAAAUUGUUCUAAUUUCCAGAGAGCACAUUCUUUUGUUUUUUCUUUUGCAAAUAAUUUCUGUCUCCCAUCUUUUUAAUAGAGCUGAAUUUUUGACAUUUUAUUUUAAAUUUUUAAUUCUAAAAUGCACACUGUCAUCAAUAUGAAUGCUGAAGUAGGAGACAGCAUGGAAAAUAUAUAAGUUGCACAAUAAAAGCAGCUUCAGCAACAAAGGUUGACCCGAGACAGAAUAAAGUGUUUAAAGUCCAGAGGGCUUUCCAGUCCAGCUGUAAGAACUCCAAAGUAGGUCAGACUGGCUGAUGGCAACUUGUUAAACCUUACUCUGAGAUGGUUUUCAAAAGAACUCAGGAAAGUCCUUUUCCACGCUCCACAUUCUUCUGAGACUAGCAGAAAGGAUGGGGCUGUCAUCUGAAAUAGAACAGGAAUGUCUCAAAGAUAAUCCUGUGAGCUGGGUGAAUGUCUGUAUGAUGAAAACACUUCGGUGAAUCAGAAAAAAGGAGGGGAAACCUGUAUUUGUCAUUCAAAACACUGUGGUGUUUCAGACCUCUUGAAACUGUUAUGAAUCCUGACUGAUGAGUGACACUGGACAUUACUGGUGACACACAUCAUUAAAAAGCAUCCCAACUGGUAAUGACUGUGAUUUUGUAUGAUAUGGCUGAGGCACAUUUUGGAGGAAGAUAUUAAAGGCUUCAGUGGGUGAUUUAAGCAGCAUGAUAAAAAGUGAAAGAGACAGUUCUUUUGUUCAGCUGUCUCUAGCAAUGGAAGCUGCAGUGUAGGAGGAACUCAUGGGGAAGAGAUGUUUACACAUGAAUAGACUAUACCCUAAAAAGCAGUAAACAACUUUCAGCUUGCUUUGGUUUGUUUACCCCCCAAAAAAAAAAAAAAAAGCCCAAA